AUGAACGCUGGCGGCGUGCCUCAUCCAUGCCAGUCGAGCGAACGGACGAGAAGCUUGCUUUUCUGAUGUUAGCGGCGGACGGGUGAGUAACACGUGGAUAACCUACCUAUAAGACUGGGAUAACUUCGAGAAACCGGAGCUAAUACCGGAUAAUAUUUUGAACCGCAUGGUUCAAAAGUGAAAGACGGUCUUGCUGUCACUUAUAGAUGGAUCCGCGCUGCAUUAGCUAGUUGGUAAGGUAACGGCUUACCAAGGCAACGAUGCAUAGCCGACCUGAGAGGGUGAUCGGCCACACUGGAACUGAGACACGGUCCAGACUCCUACGGGAGGCAGCAGUAGGGAAUCUUCCGCAAUGGGCGAAAGCCUGACGGAGCAACGCCGCGUGAGUGAUGAAGGUCUUCGGAUCGUAAAACUCUGUUAUUAGGGAAGAACAUAUGUGUAAGUAACUGUGCACAUCUUGACGGUACCUAAUCAGAAAGCCACGGCUAACUACGUG
rnacentral:rRNA from 1 species